UUUAAGCGUCACCGGCGACGCCUCGGGUGUUAAAGGGUUCAUGGAAAAUAAAAAUAUUUACGUUUAAAUCUAGAAGACUUUUGAUAAAACCUACGUAGUUCUUUGACGCAGUCAUUGACGAGCUGCUGCUCCUUCUCCUCGUAGGUUUCCGUCUCCGUCUUCAGGUGGCUGGCCUGCGCACACAUUGACAGUCAUUUCUCCUGCUCUCUCUGAGGACAGCAGGAGUGACGGAGGAGCGUCACCUCAGAGCGCAGCGACAGGUUCUCCUCUUCCAGCUCCUUCAGCUUCCUCUGCAGGGUGUCGCUCACGAAGCCGCCAGAGGCCGUUUCUGCUUUGAUUUUCUUACCUCUGAAAGACACACGGACCAAAGGAAAGGAGUCACGGACUGAUGAGGGCAUGAAGUUUCAGAUUUGAGAAGGAGGAGUUGGAGCUGACGUGGGGGAGCUGCUGGACUCGUCCUCGCUCUCUUCCACCGCGUUGGUGUAGAACUGCAGCAGCUCGUCCUUCAGGUUCAGCUCAUGGUGAAGCUGGGCCACCUGGAGGAGAACAGAUAGUCAUUCUGUUCAGUCAGAGUCCGAUUCUUCUUGAGGAGCGACUGACCGAUCUUCGCGGCCAGCUCCAGGUCCCGCUCUUUCUACGGUUGGAAAGAAAAACUUUGGUGAUCAGUUCUGAUCCAAAGAAACUCCCAGGAGAAAGAGGACUAGAUCUCACCUCCUCCAACAAACGUGUGACGGCGUCAAUGUCAUUGUAGGUUUUUGUCAUCUGGCCCACCCUGUCCGCACAUAGCACUGUGGAAACACAAAACACAGCAAGUGUGAGGUGCUGCCGCGAUGCCGCGGGAUGUAGCACAGGUGUGUGUGUGUUAGCAGGGGUGUGCGUGUGUGUGUUAGCAUGUGUGUGCGUGGGUGUGUUAGCAUGUGUGUGCGUGUGCCUAUGAAAGAGCAGCAGGAAGUGAAAGGUGAAAAGGUUGUGUUCCAUGGCGCACAGCAAAUGAGUGUGAUGCCCCCGGGGGGGUGGACAUUAUUGAUCUCAGAGCUCUGAUCGAUAAAUCGUCGGGCGUACUAAAAAGUUAUUUCAUGAAAGCGACAGCCGCUGUUUUUAUAAAUAAGACAGUUUGAUUAAAUCAGAUCCAAACCCGAAUGAGUGGGACGGC
rnacentral:lncRNA from 1 species